CCUCCGGGGGGCAGCAGUAGGGAAUUUUCGUCAAUGGGGGAAACCCUGAACGAGCAACGCCGCGUGAAUGAUGACGGCCUUCGGGUUGUAAAGUUCUGUUAUAUGGGAAGAACGAUAUCUAUAGGGAAUGAUAGGUAUGUGACGGUACCAUAUUAGAAAGCCACGGCUAACUACGUGCCAGCAGCCGCGGUAAUACGUAGGUGGCAAGCGUUAUCCGGAUUUAUUGGGCGUAAAGAGUGAGCAGGCGGUUUUCACAGUUCGAAGUCAAAUCCAGU
rnacentral:rRNA from 1 species